rnacentral:rRNA from 1 species
UACGUAGGGGGCAAGCGUUGUCCGGAAUCAUUGGGCGUAAAGAGCGUGUAGGCGGUCCGGUAAGUCGGCUGUGAAAGUCCAGGGCUCAACCCUGGGAUGCCGGUCGAUACUGCCGGACUAGAGUGCGGAAGAGGCGAGUGGAAUUCCUGGUGUAGCGGUGAAAUGCGCAGAUAUCAGGAGGAACACCUAUUGCGAAGGCAGCUCGCUGGGACGUUACUGACGCUGAGACGCGAAAGCGUGGGGAGCAAACAGG